GAUGAACGCUGGCGGCGUGCCUAAUACAUGCAAGUCGAGCGAACAGACGAGGAGCUUACUCCUCUGACGUUAGCGGCGGACGGGUGUGUAACACGUGGAUCACCUACCUAUAAGUCUGGGAUAACUUCGGGAAACCGGCGCUAAUACCGGAUGACAUGUUGAACCGCAUGGUUCAACAGUGAAAGACGGUCUUUCGGGCACUUAUAGAUGGAUCCGCGUCGCAUUAGCUAGUUGGGAAGGUAACGGCUUACCAAGGGAACGAUGCGUAGACGAACUGAGAGGGGGAUAGGCCACCCGGGAAGUUGGACACGGUCCAGACGACUACGGGAGGCAGCAGUAGGGAAUCGUCCGCAAUGGGCGAAAGCCUGACGGAGCAACGCCGCGUGAGUGAAGAAGGCGUUGGGAGCGUAAAACUCGGUUAUGAGGGAAGAACAAAUGUGUAAGUAACUAUGCACGUCGUGACGGUAACGAGUCAGAAAGCCACGGCUAACUACGUG
rnacentral:rRNA from 1 species